GCCUGACUAGCACAAUGGUUAGUGCAACUGUUUCGUAAUCAGUUGAUUUCGGUUCGAUUCCGGAGUUGGGCUCCA
rnacentral:tRNA from 1 species